CCUACGGGUGGCAGCAGUGAGGAAUCUUGGUCAAUGGGCGAGAGCCUGAACCAGCCACGUCGCGUGAAGGAUGAAGGAUCUAUGGUUUGUAAACUUCUUUUAUAUGGGAAUAAAGUGAGGAACGUGUUCCUUUUUGUAUGUACCAUAUGACUAAGCAUCGGCUAACUCCGUGCCAGUAGCCGCGGUAAUACGGAGGAUGCGAGCGUUAUCCGGAUUUCUUGGGUUUAAAGGGGUCGUAGGUGGUUAAUUAAGUAAGCGGUGAAAUGCCCCCGCUCAACGGGGUGAAGUGCCAUUGAUACUGCCUUGCUGGAAUGCGGAUGCGGUGGGAGGAAUGUGUGGUGUAGCGGUGAAAUGCAUAGAUAUCACACAGAACACCGAUUGCGAAGGCAUCUCACGAAUCCGCGAUUGACGCUGAUGCACGAAAGCGUGGGUAUCAAACAGGAUUAGAUACCCCUGUAGUC
rnacentral:rRNA from 1 species